AAGCAUGGUAAGGGCAUUUCUUAAGCAUUUCCUUAAAUUUCUCUCAACUCUCAUAAAUUGAUUCUCCUUCAAAUGGGUAAAAGAAGUGAUAUCAUUUCUAAGCUU